GUCGUAAUGUCUUAGACGUGUGCCCAGAGGAGAGCACAGCACAUCCUGAGGGCUGCUGUGCUAGGCCAUGCCUGCGUUAAGUCAGAUCCACGGCAGCUGUGUCCCUGGGAAGGCGGAGGAGGAAGGGUCAGGUGGGACCCUGCAGUGCGCCUGCUGCCGCAGGUCCGGCUGUUUCAUUUGCGUUGUCACUGCCUUUUGUUCCAGCAAGUACAGCUGCAGCAUUGUAGUUCCCUCCUGUUACUUCUAAAGUAUCUCCUGCCCGUCUUUGUUAAGGUUUCGAGAUAUUUGUGGUUGAUUGUUCUGGUUUAUCAGUGAUUCUGAGGAAUUGCUUCAAACGUUUUGCAUUUAGACCCUUUCUUAAUGAUGAUGAUCUCAUUUCUAACAAAUGUAAGUUGUUUUUAAAUAGACUCGCAUGAUUAGCAGCUUAAUGCAUAAUAUAGAAUAUAUAAAAUGGGAAUUUUUAAAGUAAUGAUAAACCCAUAUUUUCCUCUGAAAUAUUACAUUGAGUUAGAAAAAGAUGUAGCACACCUCUCGCAAGCAGACGUUAGCAACACAGGUAAGUGCACAAGUGCCCCACUGCCCAGCACAGGUGUGUGGACAUUGCUCCAGGCAGUGCAGAGGAGGCGGGCCUGAGAGUGCUGGGUGAGACUGCAGAGAGCCUGGCCCACCAACUUUUCUUCACUGUUCUUAAAGAUAGGCCACUACACAGAGUUCACUUUCAAAAUAGAACUUACUGUUCCACCUAACAUUAAUGAAGUAUUUUAUAAGUACGAGAGAUAACAUUCCGCUUAACCCAGUAAUGCUUCAAACCUAAGACUCCCUCCUUAUUUUUUUAAAUUAUUUCUUAUGUUUUGAAAAUAGUGGUAUGGAUCCCAUCUUUUCCAGUUAUAAUGAGCAGUAAUGAUCAAUAGAUUGCCCUGAAUUACACUUCCAGUUCUAUGAUGGUCUUUGUGAAAGCCUUAGAAAAAUUUUUGUGGUAAUUUUUCUAUCAUUUAUUUUCAGAUUUUAGCCAAUCCAUAAAAUUUACAAUUAGAUGUAUUAUGGCGUCCCGUGUAAAGCAUCAGUGCAUAUUUAAAUGAUGUAAUAUCUAAACUAGUCUAGGCAAAUCUAUUUCCUGAAUCAUUUAUCCAUUUGUGAGUUUUUGAAAAGGCGAAACCCCAAUGCUCAAAAUCCACUCUUCUUGUCAUUUAAAAAUAUACAGUAUGAGAUCAUCGUCUAUCGUCAGUGUCUUGAACAUCUCGCUCCCCUAAGCGUCAGCCGACCAGGCUUCUCUCAGUCUCUGGAAGGCCAGUUCUUGUCUUUCUCGAAUGACAGGUCUUGUAGUCCUCGACUUCCUGUUCCAUUGGACAGUGCCCAGUCGUAGGCCUGUGGUAGUCCCUGCCGAGUUUCCAGGACUGUCCCUACUGCGUGCUGUAUUGGUGCAGGAGCACUGGCACUCUCUGUGCUCAGGGCUUCUGUGUUUUCUGUGCGUUUGCGAGCAAUUGCCUUAGUUUUCACAUUUUUCCUCUUUCCUAGACCAGAAGGCAGUCUUGCUGAGUGGGUGACAUAGGGACUUACUUUGUAUCCCACUGUAGCUGGUCUUUGCUACUUUGUGGAUUCUUCUUUUUUUCAUCCUUCAUCUUCCCACUCCCCCUUGAGGGGGGAGGAGAGAGGGAAGGAGAGAGGUGGGGAAAAAUCCUUAAACCUAAUUUCUUUAUUUUUUUUCUAAUUUUUUGUUUCUUCUUUACUUGUAGUUGCUGUUUGGUUUUUUUGUGGGUUCUUCCUUUUGCCACCCUUUAUCCCAUGGUUUUAUCCCCUAUCACUAAACAAGAGAGAGAAUAUAGAGGAGAGAGUUAGAGAUCCCUGAAUUUCUUUCUUUCUUGUUUCUUAUUUGAGCAGAACUACUAACAAACUACAACUAACCCCUGUGAAUGAGUAGCAACCACCUACCCCGCCUUGGGGGGCCCCAGCAUUUAUGUACCCUCUGAGAGGUCUCAUAACCCCGAAUGUCACACAGUCAUGUCCCAAACGCACGCCUCUGCUGGAGCAUGGAGCGAGUCAUACGCACCUGCUGCGACAGCCACAGCAGCCCCAUGCCCCACAUCCGGAUUCAAACAAAACAUACUCCUACAACGUGUCUGGUUUUUUAUUUGUUUUGUUUUUGUUUUUUAAAUAAAUCAAAAUCCCAGAAUUCUCACUACAUCCUCUACAUUCACUCACAUCAUCAGAAUUUCACUGAAAGAGAACGCUCAUCCCUGCUGGUUCUGAGGUUGCAGGCGUAGUUCAGGAUGCCUAGGUGACACUGUGCUGGGCAAUCAGUGACCUGACCAGGUCUCUCUGCCUGCUUUGGAGGGUCUGCCGUUUCUUACACAUUCAGUCUGGAAGCCUUUUCUCUACGUAUUUCUCUUCUCUGCUGUCCCCUUUGCCGUGUGGAAGCCUUGCAGCUCCACAUCAUCUUCUUGGUCUGUUUCUGCCUGUGUUUCUGGCCUGUGUUUUCGGACUCUGCUUCCUAAAGUCAUGAGAAACUUUCCAUUUUCUUAUUGGUGUUUCACAGGUUCUUUUCUCUUACAUUUUUAUGGAAUCAGAUUUUUCUUGAGAAAUUUACUAAUUAUUUUUCUUUAAACGUUCUUUGACUUUUUGCCAUUAAAAUUUGUUAAAAUGUAUUUACUGUUUGUGGUAAUAUUUACUUUAUAAAGUAAGCCAAAUAUUCAGGAAAAUGAUUGACAUCAAUUUAAAAGUGAAAUUUAUUGAUUUUUAAAAUUCCAUUUUAAAGUCUAAUGGACUUUUAAAAAUUAUAAAGAAUCUAAAUUUGUUAAGAUGUAUUUAUUGUUUUUGGUAAUAUUUGCUUUACAAAGUAAACCAAAUAUUUAAAGAAAAUUGAAUGGUAUCAUUUUAAAAAUUAAAGUGCUCCCCAAUUAGUGUUCUCCUUUACAGACAGCUUUAGGACAGCCUAGCAUAGUCUUUUCAUGGCACGUGACACAGUGACGUACAUGAACACCCUUAUCUCCAAUGCUUGACCUCUAGACAAGCUUAGGAGUCCAUCCAGUUAAAAGAGAAAGCGGUCAUCCUGCAGCAGUGCGCUCACACUCUAGCUUCCUGGAUACAUGACCUAAGAGCCGUGGGCCUCGAGAAUCAGACCUGUCAUCGGUAGUCAGAAGUGCCGCGGCUGGUGAGUGACGCGGGACCUGUGUCUGCCUUGUGAUUGUCCCCUAAGUGGACACUGUGUUUAUAAUGAACUUAGUGAUCUUCGUCUUCCCGCUCUUCACUCACUCACUCACCAACCUGGCAUGUGAGACGGGAAAGUGAGCGCCAGUCCUUCGUCCUUUCUUUCUUUUUUCUAGCUUUGCGGGCUCAACUUCUUGGUCUCUAUAGUUUUCUUUUUGUACUUAUCUGUAAUGGUUAUUUAGUGUUCAGUUCUAAAUAUAAUCAGUACAGUGGAGGUUUAUUUCCAAGGAAUGAAAGUGUAUUUUUUAUGUUUUUAAUGGAAAAGUUUGGAUUAAUUGAGAAAACAUGCAUUUUAAUGAGUCGAGCUGCAGAGUCAUGGAGAUCAGACUCUUAGUUUUAAUUACACUGCUUGCACUUACCCUAUGUACUGUAAUAGAAGUUUCAGACAUUAAAACCCACUUUAAAUUACUCAUCUCAUUGUUCCUGCCAUGCUGUAUCACUAAGCUAAGUAAUAUUUGUAAUUAUAUUGGUAUAAAUCUAGGGCUUCCCAUCAGACUUAAUUAUGACUUCAGCACUUAGCCGAGAUGGGUUAGUAGCCUUUCACAGAGAGAGCACGGGAGUGCACUAAUGCAUUUAGCCUAUUAAUUAGCUUCAGUGUUACGAGUGCUCAUUAAUACAGUCCUGCUGUAAAUCAGGGAGCAGUGCUGAGUACUUGGUACUGUGUCUCAGAAUGUGGAGCACGGAGUCUCUCCUACCGUGGGGUUGCUCUUCUAGGUGGCGUGAGACGUAAUGUUGAUGCUGAGCUUGGUCAGGAGAGAGGGGAGGAUGAUAGCUCAUUGCCCGGGGAUUGGGGACUGGUCGGUGUGUGGCCAGCACUCCUGUGCAAGCCUCUCCACACUGUUUUGUGAGGGGAAGGUCUGACUGUUCCUGUGGUGUUUACGUCGUCCAUUAGACUGCUUUGGCUUUCAGGUGGAUGUGAUUUUGUAAUUACUACAUGGAAACUUGGUGGGGACAAAGAAGAAAAUAUUAAUGGGUCAUGAGUCAGUUUUCUAUUUCAUAGAUGGAAUUAAUCCGCUAUUAAUAUGGGAAAAUUCUUAGACUUAUGUUUAUGGUAAGCUUUUGUUGUUGUUUGGUCUGGAACAGUAGUUCUUAUCCUGUGGCUUGUGAUCCCUUUGGAAGUUCACGUAUCAGAUAUUCUGUGCAUGAGAUAUUUACAUUUAUAUGUAUAUAUAUAUAUCAUUUAUGAAUUGGCAAUGAAAUCAUUUUAUGGUUGAGGGUCACCACAACACAAGGAGCUGUAUUAAAAGUCACGUCAUUGCGUGUUGAGGAAACACUGGUCUAGAACCUUUAGAUGUUAUUUUGUGUAUUCAUAGAUUAAAAACCCAAUUAACAUUCUAAAGCUUCAAUGCUCUCUCUUUUCCUACAUGAAAAGUUCUUGCCUGUGAGAUUUCAUUUUAAAACUAAACAUGUAAAACUGUAUAGUAAUUGAUCUCUUGGUAUCUGGUUUGUUUUUGUUGUUGGGUCGGAAUUUUGCGGGGGUAGAGUCAAAUCAAGGGCUUUGCAUCCUCCCACAGAGGUACAUCCCUGACUCUAAUGCAUAGUCUUCUGUGGUCUUGAGAUUGAUCUGUGGACUAAGACGUGUGUUGUUUCCUGAAAGCUCUCCGUGCACUGAAAGGAUUGCACAGCAUGGUGUUUCCUUGUAUUCAGAGGAUGGGAGAGUCAUCUCUGACAUUUACUGUCACUUUGAAAUACAAACAGAACCCAAUGUUGUAUGAAAAGUGAGGAGGGACUGUUUCUAUCUGCGAUUUAAAUCGAACAUCCGGUCACUAUGUCUUCUCUAUUCUCUGACUCCAAGUUUAUCCGAAUAUUUAUUUGAUAUAAAUCUUUUGUUAUUUUACAGUCAAUUUGGUCUUUAGGUGUUUUGCAUGACUGAAACAGAAUGCAAAAGCUGCACAUAUAGGUGUAAGGCUGGUAUGUAAAAACCUUGAAGGGUUCUGAGCUUCUUCUUAGCAGUAUGAUUUUUUUUUCUUUUCUUUUCUUUUCUUUUUUUUUUCCUCGGAGCUGGGGACAGAACCCAGGGCCUUGCGCUUGCUAUGCAAGCGCUCUACCACUGAGCUAAAUCCCCAACCCCAGCAGUAUGAUUUUAAUAGUUCAUUGUUACUGAUUUUAUCAAUAAAAAUUAAAAGAACUUUCCCUGAUCUAGGUAGGUUUUUUUUUUGCAAAAAUUAUUUAAUUUUUUUUGUCAAAAAUAUAGGUUUUCCAAUUAAAAAAUGUUAACAUUGGUCCUUAAAAAAAAAAAAAAAAAGCCUAGCUAGCUUAGUUCCUGUGAUCCACAUCUCUCUUAGCAGAUGACCCUUUAAUUCGCAGCUCACUGUGCUGCUUAUGAAGCAGUGCAGGGCAAUAUUGUGAGAGAAAUUGAAUACUUUCUGGCGGCCACUAGCUAAUGUUACAAAACAGAGCAAAGCUGGGGCUUGUUCUCAUGACAGCAGAACCCCAGGGUAGAGGGAGUGUCUGUGGUGACACGUUUCUGACAGGCAUAAUGAAAAGAGGCUCCUUCAGUUUACAGCCUGGGAGACUGACAGUGUGUGUAGGUUGACUCUUGAGCAUGAUUUUGGGGGAAGUUCUUCUGAUGGCUGCAUAACAAAGGCAGGAAGAGGUUACCUGGUGAGACAGGAAGUCAGAGAAAGGUUGGAGGUCAGGUGAGAACUACCAUGAUCCUUUAAGAGCCUUAAAAGGUCUGCCCAGUGAGAAGGCAGCAGCUAGCCUAGUGAUGAUUUAUAUCCUCAGUCAUAUGCAAACCUCGACAGUGGUUGUUGGGGCAAACUAUCAAUUGCCAUAAUUUUCUGGGUUAAUUUUUUCCUUCCGUAAAAAGCUUUACUGUAAAAUAUGGAGAUUUUAAAUCUUGGACUCUUACUGCUACUUUCUUUUCAGGUACACAGUAAGACUUUUAUAAAAAGUGAAGAUCAUUUUCAUGAAAAUUCUGAGCUCAUGUCUUCUCCUGUAAAAGUUUAAAUUAGCCUUUUUUUUUUAAAUCAGCACUAUCUUCAGUAUUGUAUUGGGCUGUUGGCCAUUUUCUUUAUCCGACAGACUUGAUCCAUAUUUUAUCUGUCUCCUACCCAGCCUAUAAAACUGGAUUCUUCUUCAUUAAAUACAGAAUGUAGGCACCAGGGGAUGGCUCAGCAGUUAACAUUUCUUGCUCUUCCAGAGGACCCAUGUUUGGUUCCCAACUACGAGUAAUGUCACCUUCAGGGGAUCCAAUGCCCUAUUCUUCCUCUAUGGCGCCUGCACAAAUGUAGCAUAUAUUCCAUGUGUACACACAUAAAUAUAUAUGGAAUUAGACUCUAUGAAAAUUUAAUAAGUAUUUUAAAUUUAUACUUCAGUAUGAAAAAUGUAUUAAACUACAACGCUUUUUUAGAUAUUUCAUAUUUUAAAUAUGUAAUUUUUAAAUAUGUAAUAUGAAUUGUAAGUUGAGUCUGAUAAAAACCUUCACAGCUAAUAGAGUUAAUUAUUUUACUGUUAGUUUUUUCUUGUUACUGUUGUCAUUUCAGACAUCAGGACUUUGACCAACAGGCAGAAGUUACGGAGGGGACAGAUCAGCUUUAAAUAGAUAAAGCAAUUGUUCUCACUAAUAGACGUCCAGUAUCUGAAGCAAGCAGGACUAUUAUAAGACAAUUUAUUAAAUAUUAAACAGUGAUAAACUAGUUUUCUAAAGCCUUUCCAACUUCAAACCUGUCAGUUAAAGUUACUUGUUUAUGUUGGUCUGGGAUCCAGCCGAGUGUCUAAUGCAUUGUGGGGUGUGCUGUACCAGGAGGCACCAUCUGUAGGCAGGCACCGUAGGGGUCUUCCGAAGAGGGAAGUCACAGGUACCUCUUGGAGUUGGUUCAUGGCUCCUUUGUUUUUAGCACUAAGUGAGGCCCUAACACCAGCGUCUUUUGUUCCUGUAUGGAAAGACAGAUCCCCUUUUUGUGUUUAGGGUUGUGUGGGCUGCAGUUGUGGGGUGACAGCUGAGUCCCUCACACCUCUCAGCAAGACUGACAACGCCCCAGCUCACGUAAAACUCAACGAGGUUUUAUAGAAAGAUUUUUCUAACUCCCUUGAUCAUCUCUGCAUGUUUAUUCUGUUUCUUCUUUCAAAUUUCCGUUGAUUCAAUAAAAAGCGGUGAUAUUUAGAAAUAAAGUUCAGAGAGGAUUUGAGCAGGUGUUGGUGGUAUAAAAUAUUUGCUGAGUGCCCAUUGUGUUUUAUUUCCAGGAAUUGUUUUGUGAACAUAUGCUAUAUAUUGUAUUUUUAAGUGUUCCAGGACCAAGUGAUUAAUCUACCUCUUCCAGUGAAUGUCAUGUCACAGCGGACUUAGACUUAUUUCACUUCAGUCCCUAAUAUUACUUAAUUCUCAGAGAGACUGCGGUUUAAAGGUUGCCCAGGGGACAACCUAUCUGCUAAACGCAGUGGCGUAGUUGGAUUCGGGCUUGAGAAUAUUUUACUCUCUACUGAAGUUAAGUGGUGUAGAAGAGAGGAUGCUUCUCAGCUGGGGUAUUGUGAAGUCUGGGUAAUUUUCUUCUCUGUAAGCACAAAAACUUGGAAAUAGAGAGGACAUAAAAAUAUGGCUUUGGAGGGGUGUGUGGAGAGAUGGUUCAGUGGUUAAGACCCCUGACUGUUCUUCCAGAGAUCCUGAUUUCAAUUUCUAAAAACCACAUGGGGGCUCACAACCAUCUGUAAUGGAAUACGAUGCCCUCUUCUGGUGUCUGAAGACAGCAACAGUGUAGUUACGACACAAGUUAGUAAUGUCAGCUGCCGUGCCAGCCUCACCCUGGCACCUAUACCCACGCUGUCCUUCCUCUAGAGUGUGGCUAGUUUGAAUCUGGUGUGUCUUAGUUUCUUUUCUGUCACUAUGUCAAGCACCAUGACAGAGGCAGUUUUAGAGGAAAGCAUUUCAUUAGGGCUUAUGUUUCCAGAGUAGAGUCCAUGACCAUCCUGACUUGCUUGGUAGCUACUACCCAGGCAUGGCACUGGGACAGGUCCUGGAAGCUCACACGGUGGGUGGUGGUAGGGGAUACCAGCUGGAAUGAUAUGGGCUCUUGAAACCUCAAAGCUCACGCACAGUUACACACGUCUUCCAACGAGGCCACACCUCCUAAUCCUUCCUAAACAGUUCCACACAUUGAGGACCUAGCAUUCACACACAAGGGUCCAUGGGGGCCGUUCUCGUUCACAUUAUCACAUGGUGUUAAUAACAUACUGGGGUGAUUUGAUGGAACAUUAAAAAAAUCUCACCGUGAACUACAGAAGUUAUUUUAAUAAUUUUAUGUAUAUCAUAUAGUCAUAUUUUUGGUAAGACCAACUUAGACAGGUAAUGUCUUUAUGCAUGUAUGUGCAUGCAUGUGUGUGUAUGCCUCUGUGUGUCCGUUGUGGGUGCAUGUACCUGUGUAGACAUGUGUAGAGGCCAAAGGUUGAUGGUUUCUUCAAUUACUUCUUCAUCUUAUCUUUUGAGAGAAAGUCUCUCACUGAACGUGAACUCAGUCAGUUUUGCUAGUCUGCCUGGCUAUGAUCCCCUGGAUUCAUCUGUCACUGUCUGUCAGGAUUGGAGUUGCGGACACAUGCCAUGCCUUGCUUUUUAGAUAAUGGCAGCUGGGAAUCUAAUUUGGGUCUUAAUUUUAGCAUCACAGCAUUUUGCCCACUGAGUUGUCUCCCUAUCCCUAGAAGGGUAGUUUAUUGAGUCACGUCAUGAAUGUUUCUGGAUGCUCUGAUACAAUGUUCUCUCUGCUUUCACGUUUUUCAAGCUAUGGAAAGAUUAUCUAACAUAGUCUAUGAGAUUUACCCCUCUUUUUAUAGGGGAGUAUUCUCUGGGUAUUCAACCCAAACACCUGUACUCAUAAUUAGCUUGGAUUCUACCACUGACCACUGCACCAUUACCCUGACCGAAUUUGUGGUAUAAAAAUGUUUUCUCUGUAAUUAAAUGAGUUUAUAUCAUAGGAAAGAGCAGAAAGAGUACAUUUUAAAUGAUAGUGGAGUGCCGUAAGCCCAUGGUCUAUUGUCUCCUGCCUCGUGCCUGUUUGAACUGCUGACAAUGGAGAAAAUCAUGAUUUAUUCAUGGACAUGAUAGCUUAUUGGCUGCUCAGAUGAAUUCCUCUGUCUUUCCCACCCCUAUGUCUCCUAGGAAUGGCCAUAUUCUUAGUCACUCAAACUUGAAAUGGUAAUUAAAAUAACUCACUGUUGUCAAAAUCUAAAGUGUGUGAUAAAUGGAGCCCAGUAAAUAGUGAAAAUAUGGGAAAGAUGAUUAAAUCUGACAGUUUCCCUGUAAAAGACUUGGGGUGAUAAAUAUCUCCUGUGAUUAGUUAUUAAUUUAGUGCAGGGGAUUUUCCUUCAGCCCAAAAUGUUUUAUGAACAGUGGCAUAAAGAAAUACUUUAGAAGAUAGGUACGCACAUGUUUAACCAGAGAGGAAAUUGCUGUAACUUGAUUGGUAAUAAUUAAAGACGGCAGACCUGACGGUGCACGUGCCUGAGCUAUUUUCUGUAUGACAGUCCUUUCGGAAACCCAGCGAGGGAGGUGCUUCCCGAAGACAGGGAAAUGACAGGAUGCUUUGGCUUGGACUUCUGCCCGCCCGCUCGCCUUGAACACGGGAAGGUUCCACGCAUCCCAAUCCUCAGACAAAAUCAAGCCAAGCCACUUUGGAAGAAAAGCCAGCUAUCAGUAAGGUGACUUGGUGAGUGACAUUUCCUUUAGAAGAGCAUUACUUGGCCUCUUAUACCAUGGUAAAGCCGUUAGAGUGGCUUGGAAAUUAGAGAAGCACGUGCACCAUGCGGAGCUGCUGCUCUUCUUCCCGGAGGUUACGGUCUCGCCAGCACCAGUUUGUCUGAAACGGAGAGCUCCUCGUGUCUCCAGUCGCGGCUCUGUGAAGCCCUGCUGAAACAGAUCCUUAGCUGAAAAUAGCUGCAAUCCUAGGAGUCAGCUCCUCAUUGGAAAUUGCAGGGUUGCCAUCAGGAGGGAGUCAGCUCAUCCUCACACUGUUUCUUGGUUCACCGUAUUGUGAAACAGCAAAUAGCGAUUUCCUCUCUCUCUCUCCUCCCAUAAGGAGUGGUCCUGACAUGUAGUGUGUUCAGUGGCACAGUUUACCCUUUGACAUUGUCCAAAGCAGGCAUACCACAGUGCUGUAGGAAGGAGUCUUUUGGAGACAAACAUGUUUGAGAAAGUAUAGGUAGCAAUUAUCAUUUGUGACAUUCUGUGACUCUCUCGAGUAUUUCAGAAAUAUAUUCAGUAGGAUGAGAUCUCAUGUAGUAAGUUAAAGAAAAGUUUCCUUUUUUUAAUCAAGGAUUCUUAUUUUUAUAUUUGUUAAUAGACACAAAAAAACUAGUGUAAUAAAUCUGAACUCUUCCUAAUUCAAAAUGAGUACAUCUCUGGGUCUAGUUAAAUAAUUCCAGUAUAAACAAGAAUCCCCCAAGAUCAUUUUCAUGCAGAUGAAUGGAAGUAGAUGUCAGUUUACAAAGCUGUGUCUUUCUUCUCUCAUGGAUUGGUAAUUUCUUGUGGUACUGCUCAGAAAACCUAGAUUUCCCGGGUUGGUUGUGGAGCGCUCCAUCUGAAAGCUUCUUGUUAAAAUUAAAAAUGUCAGGGGUGCUGGAGAGGUGGUGAAGGGGCCGAAAGCACAGGCUGCUUUCAGAAAACCCAGCUUUGAUUCCCAGCGCCCGUGCGGCAGUCUAUAACCAUCUGUAGCUCCACUUCCAGAGGAUCUGAUGCCUUUUUCUAGCUUCCCCGGGCACCAGACACACAAAUGGUGCAGACAUAUGUGCAGGUAAAACACAUCAGAAGAGGAAAAUAUGGAAACAGAAACAUAUACUCGAUUAAAUAUAAAAGAUUGAAGACUAUUAGACACGAAAGCAACUGCCACCCACCCACCCACCCAACCCCAGUGAUAGUAUCAGUUAUUGUUUCCGGACUGUGCACAUCUUUAGAAAUUUACCACUGAGGCAGCCAAGUACUGUAGCUCCAUAUGACAGAAGAUGAAAGUUAACGCUUCUGUUUCCUUUUCAGACCCCAAACCCUGUACUUACUGAUGGUAGAAAGAUAGACAGAUAUAGUCAGACAGAGCUACCAAAGCUCACCUGUGCUCUGCAGACUGUAACCCCAGACUCCUCACCUGUAUGUGCCCUUCUGUGUGACAUUAACCUGUAUGUGCACUUCUGUGUGACUUUACCUGUAUGUGCACUUCUGUGUGACAUUAACCUGUAUGUGCCCUUCUGUGUGACUUUACCUGUAUGUGCACUUCAAUAUGCACUAUGACAUUAGCCGUUUCUCCAUUCGGAAGUGAGCAAGUGUCUUUAUGCCUUUGCGGUCUGCACUGGGCAUAGUAGAGUUGACUUCGAGAAUCCUUAGAACAUCUCUGCUCACCUCUGGAAUCUUGCUAUCAGCAUAUUGUUAGCACAGACCAGCAGCUCUCAACUUUUGGUUCAGGACCCUCAUGGGGAUCACAUAUCAGAUACCCAUAUAUCGGAUAUUUACAUUACAUUAUGAUUCAAAGUUAGCAAACUGACAGCUAUGAAUUAACAACAGAAUAAUGUUGUGGUUGGAGGUCACCAUGGCAUGAGGAACUGUAUAAAAGGGUCACUGCCUGGGAAGGUUGAGAACCCCAGGUAUGGACCACUUUACCUGAUCACGAGAGAGAGAGACCUCUUUAAGGUGGAAGACCAUCCAGUGCUUAUAGCCAGAAUGUAAAGUGAGCCCUGUUCACAUAUCUGGGCUGCAGAGUUGUGACUGAAUGUAAAGUUUUAUUUAAGCUACAUUUGGGUGUGGUUUGUUACACAGCAUUUCAUGGUUAAGAUGCUUCCUAGUUGUCCUAAGCUAAAAAUUUUACAUUGUAUGAAUGAAGUUUCAGAAGUUUAUCGUUCUUUAUCUUUUCAGCAGUCACCCCUUGAGUCUUCAUCUGAGAACAUUGCGCCCCAUUUUAUUGGUUAGGUAGGUUGAGGCAGAGAGGUCUUGUUUUCUGAAGGUCGUGCCUGACUAGUACUAAGGCACUGUCUCCUCCUAAGCUUAUAGUAUAGCAAGAGUUGGCUGCAGUAAGCAGCAUCCUGGGUAAAUGUCAUCACAGCAUAAUGGUGGUCAGUACGUAGUCCAGGAAGUAAACCCUACUUGUAGUUUGUGCGUUUUUAAUCUUACAUCGUCAGCUAAAGAGACACUGGAAAAAGAAGCAGCUGUUUGGCUCCUCCAGGCCUGAGUCUGAGGGGGUAGCGUGGGUCUAUAUAAACGAAAGAUGCUAAGUAUGAAUCCUGGAAUUUAUAUGUAGCAAAACCAGUUUUCUGGCCCGCAGUAUUUUUCCUCAGGCCAGGAGGAAAUGGAGAGAAUGGGAGAGUGUGUUCUUGAGCAGAUCGUGGCUGAGGCCUCCUGACAUCGCAGCUUUGCCUUCAUCAUCUGUGCUUUCCAAUAACAAGCCGCACAGACGGAGGGGUGGGUGUGCCCUGAGCAUCACUGCUAGUCUCCCCACUUACCAGUGACAAAGGGGUCCAGUCCUGCACAGGGCCACUAUAGGUUACAGCCCUGGAACAUUUCCUGCAUGGCUUCUUAUGAAAAUGUGGACACUUACUUUUUUGGGAAAUAUUGUUUCCAGAAUUGUUUCUAUUUUCUCUUGAGGGAAAAAAUUAAUAAUUUCCCAGUAAUAAUUUUCACUAGUAAAUUACCAGGGUACUCUGUGUUACAUUACAUUGCACAUAGGCGUGCGUAGAAAUGCUUAGGUGAGAGUGCAUACGUAUUUUGAGAAUUUAAAUUUUGGUCUGGGGAGAUGAUGACUCACUGGGUAAAAGCCCUUGCUAUACAAGCGUGACGACCUGAGGCUGAAUGCUCAGAGCCCAUACGAAGCCAGGUGUGGUCGUGUCAGCAUCUGUCUCCUCAGGAUGCUGUGGGAGAGAGGGAGCUAAUUCAGGAGAACUGUGUACAGCAGACCCUGCCUCCACCAAGGCUGGGAUCGAGAACUGAUACCUGGGGUUGCCCUGCUCCCCCACCCCUGCAAUACACCUUGGCAAGACUACUGCAUGUCCACAUAUAAUUACACAUACAAGUACACUAAUGGUGGUUAGUGGAUGGCGUGAAUAAGUAGAUACUACACUCUGUUUAGUUUUUGGAGAAGAAAAAAAUAUUUUUUCUUUUAGUUUUAAUUUUUAUGGAAAUAGAUUUUGAGUUCCAUAUGUUACCAUAUAGAUGGCAGCACUGGAAUUAAUCUGUGGAUAAGAACUGUGACUCUUCCAAAGCCUCUAACAUUUAGCUGGAAUCUCAGAAACUGUUUACUGAUUGAUAAUUGGUUGAUUGAUUGAUUGAUUGAUUGAUUGAUUGACUGUCCAACCUAGUGAGCAUAGGCUUGUGUUCAAGGUAAGAAAGGAGUCAGACAGGAAAUGCAGGAUGUUACAGUAAGCUGAGCAGAAUGCCUAUGCUAAUUUGAAGGGUGCCCUUUAAGGGCUCUGUAGCCCAAAACGGAAGAAUUAAAGAUGCCGUCCAUGGAC